rnacentral:rRNA from 1 species
UAGAGCUAUUCAAAUAAGGUACAGCCUAUUUGAAACAGGAUACAACCUUAACUAACGGGUUAUUAUUUUAACAACGCACCGAAGUAGACCUAAAAGCAGCCAUCUUUAAAAUAGCGUCAAAGCUUACCUGCCUUUACAAUUAAUCUCUAAAAAUUUUCCUAACCCUUUUCCACCACUGGGUGAUUCUAUAACCUUAUAGAGCCCAUUAUGUUAAGACUAGUAACAAGAAGUAACCCCUUCUCUUUAAUGUAAGUAUAAAUCAGAAAGGAUAAUCCACUGAUCAUUAACAUGCAUGACUCUUUAUUAGUAACAUCACAAGAAAACCCUAAUAUUUUUAAUGUUAACCUAACACAAGAGCAUUUCAAGAAAGAUUUAAAAUAAAGGAAGGAACUCAGCAAACAUCAACCCCGCCUGUUUACCAAAAACAUCGCCUCUUGAACCACAAUAAGAGGUUCAGCCUGCCCAGUGACAA